GGGUGAUUACUUUUUCAGAGAAAGCACAACAGUCUAAGACGGUUGUACUUACUCUGAGGGGGCUAGUUGUACGGGAUACUCCCGUUGGCCCAUUUCUAUACCAGAACAUCAUAUUCUAGUAUUAUGGGCCCAAAGAGUAAUAAGGGCCAAGGCCCAAUCCAUGACCUAAUAAUCUAAAACCCCUAUAAAUACUCAUUUAUGGGGGAAGGUAAAAGAGACUUCUCUACACUCUCUCUCCUAUCUCACUGCUUUAUCUCAUAAUAUGAUACUAAUGUUGGGCGUCGGAGGCCCUGAUCCGGGGAGCCUCCCCCGGGUUCGGGUUCAUCUUGCAGGCACUCAUCUCCACGCUCAAGAUCCGAAGAUCCGACCUCACCACCCGUUUCCGAUACCGGAACAAUUGGCGCUAGAAGGAGGGGCACAAUAACACAUCAUUGUGCCUGAAUCUCCGUAAAAGUCAAAAACAAAAGCCUACUGGCUACUGCCAAACUUACCGUCGAGCAAAAAAGAAAACCGACAAUAACCACCACUCUUACCACUAAAAAUCCAAUAUACACGCAUAUCACUAUUUGGCAUUUCCUUGUUCCCAGAUCUGAAAGUAAAGAAAAAAAAAAAAAAAAAGAAAAGGAAAAAGAAAGUGUAUUGUGCGGAGAAAACAAGAACAUUUUAUUCCAUCUCGAGGAAACAAAUCAAUACCCACCAUCAAACACUACGUCAUAUUAUUUUCUAAAUAAAUCUUCAAGAUCAAGGGUGAGGAUUGUGGCUGAUAUCGAGUAUUGCAAGAAAAACAAGGCCUCAGGCCAACUUCAUGUGUAAUUCCGAAAAAAAUGGCGGGUUGUUCUUGCACCGGUAGCAAGGCUAAGCUGCAGGGUUCAAUGAUGUGCUGAAAUACGGUAAUACAAAGGAUCGAGAUCCAUGGAUGGCAGUAAAUCAUCCUUCCGGAAAAUAUGCUACCGGCUUCACCAACCAAGUGUUGGUUGCCGAAUUGCUCCGCUAACGGUGACGACACCAGAACGCCGAUACCAAGGCUAAGUUUCUCUUUUAUUUUAUAUUUUUUAUGUGAAAUUAAAAAAGUCUUUAAAUCUCACUCAAUGACCAUCAUACAUGUGCAUAGUCUCAUAUCAGCUUCAAAAUGUCAUACCAGCAUUUAAGGCUACAUGGCUAUAAUAUUGUUAUUGUCCAUAAUAUCUGAAUGUGGAUUUCAGUUUGAUUUUUUAUAGUAUCUAAAUGUGGUGGUCUGGUUGAUUUUAUUGUAUUAAUGGAUUUGCAUACUCUUGAAAUAUGCUUCGUUGAUAAUUCUUUUUAUGUGCUAGGCUGUGAUUUAAAUGUCAUACCAGCCAAGUGAUUCUCUGUCAGUAUACACCUCUUACCAGCUACUGAUUUGCUAUCAGUAUGCUAUCAGCCUAUUAAUUCAGUGAUUUAUUAAUAAAGUGCUACCUGCAGUGCUACUAAAUGUUGUUAAUUCGCAAGUCUGCACCAGCCCACUUUCAAAUGGUUAUGGUCUUACCAGCCCACUUCGAAAAAUAAUACCAGCCCACUUUGAAAAGUAAUCUUACCGGUUGAGGUCUACUGUCAGCCCAACCUAGUCCUGCUAUUUAUCACUUGAUUUGCUACUGGGGGCGCGUCUCUAAGUUUGCUAAGUGCGGUUUACUGGCAGCCUGUAUUACACACUUGAUAAUUCACCACAAUUGCACAAUUUCAUAGUGUUCAUUUAACUUUAUCUGGAGUGGUCAGUAAUCGGCCAGUUUAAUCGAUGUCAGCCUGUCUCAGUAGAGGAUUCUCUCAGUCACAAUAUUGCUGUCAGUAUCCUUCCAACCGGCGUUUUUAACUUAGUGAUUUCCUACCAGCCUAGCCACUUGAUUUGCUACCAGCUUAGGUUGAAAGCUCAUAUCAGCCCAGCUGUGCGACAUACCUUUCAAUUAUUUACUCUGUCGGCAAUUUUUAAACGUGCCUAGUAUGUCUGUAUGUGAAAUCAUUUUGAGACAAUUUUAUGUGCUACCUGCUCGAACCCGCAGUUUUCUCAAUUGAUGAGCAAAGAGAAAUUGAAUUUCAAUGAUAAAAGACACAUCCUUUAUAAUUAGUGGCUCCCACUGUCGGAGUACACAUCUUACCGGCACAUAGUAGUAAACUUAUCAGCCGGUUUAUAAUUAUAUUGUCUUCGUUUCACUACCCAAUAAUUGUUGGCUCCAAGUGUUUUUUAAAUGUACAUUGUGAGCCAUCCAGUAAUAAUGAGUGCAAGUGGCCGCCUACUUUACUGCCAAGAUGCAACCUUUUAAUUCGCUACCGGAUUUUUAAGCAACCCAAGUUGUUAGAUGAUGUUUGUAAAACUCAUAAGUCUCCAAUAGCCAGAAAAAAGCUAAUCUAAGUCGUAAGACCGAGCUAUCGGUUGUGAUUUUCUAUCUGUCUAGUACGAGAAUCUUUUGUCGGCCUAUUUCUUGUCGGACUCGCAAAUGUGUUGAUUGCUAAUGUUUUAGCUCAUUUACUGUCAAAAUUAGUUGCUGCCAAUACUUAUUGGAUUCGCUUCGUGCUGGACCGAGUUUCGUCCUAAGUACAUAUUGUUUAUACUAUCUCGUGGCCAUAGAUAAUGACUAGCAGACUAAAAAUGCUGGCACGUCCAUGUAUUUACUUUUGGCACUCUCACUUUGUUUAACAACUUAAAAGCAGUAACUCCUAGAACUUUGGACUUUGGACACCAACCCAAUUUACAUGGUGUUAUGUCGAUAAAAAGUAUCCUUAAACUGCAUUUGAAGUGUACAGUCGGUUAGUUCUAGCAUGUGUCAACUACCUUUCAAGAGGAAAGCAGUUAAUGCAUGGUGUAUGUAUUAUGUUUGAUGCAUAAGUAAUAUAGGUAUAAUGUUUCGUAGGUUUAUGCAUGCUUAGUAUAUGAUGAUAUUUUAGAAAGGUAUGACUUGAUUUAGUAUCACCGACAUUAUACCAUCGUACGCUACGAGUCUACUAGUGGUGACCAUAAUACAAGAUACACUGAAGUUUAUAUUUUCAAAAGCAAAUGGUACCCUCUGGCUAGUCUGUUGUUACGGUUGAGUUCUUAUUUCAAAAUUUCUUAUUCCCAGUAUGUGCCUAGGCGGUUAUAAAGUCCAUGUUUCAUAAGUAGCCCGGUUUGGUGAGAAACAAAAGUUACAAUUAUCAGGUAACGGUUUUUUAUAGGUUUUUUCUAUCGGCCAAACUCUUGCCAUACUCAAAUUUGUAAAAAGGAGUAGCCAGAGCGCGAUUUUAACAUUUUAUGAAAACAGCAUUCCGAUUGAAACCAAUUUGCAUAGAGCGUAGCAUAAUCAUCAAGUGUUGCUAUAGUCAACAAGCAGUCGGCUAGACGCCAUUGCCAACCUUGCUACUGGCAUAAUAGAAACCACCUGCAACUUUGGGACUUGUUUAAACUAGGAGUUGUGAAUUCUCUGCCAGCCAAAUUCUUGCUGAACUCGGAAAUGCAAGUCAUAGUAUAAACAUUUUUGAGAUAUCGCCCUUACAAUCUCAUUUCAAUUCUCAUAAAACAAAGUACGCUAGUUUAUGGGAAAUAGUGUCCUCCUGCAUAAUUCACCGUGUGCUCCGUUUACAAAGUAUUUGUUAGUUUUAUCUGCAUGCCAUCGUGCCUCUUGAGGUAAUUUUAAUUAAGAAUUGUAUUGCAUUAUAGGAAUAUAGCCAUUGGAGGUUACUACUACUGUUUGCAUAGCCAUAUUUCCACGAGUGUAUAUUUUCCGAAUCCCAUGGUAAUGGGCCACAUACGGCCAUUUUAAAAUGGUACAUGCCUAUCAGUCAUCCUUUACUAUUUUAAGAGGUUUGAUAAAGAAUUAUAAGAGCCCAAUACUCAGACUGUUAUCUGCUACCAAAAUUGUCGUCAGCCUAAUUUGAUGAGUCUUCCUUGAUUUAAAAUGUUAUACCCUUUACUACCGAACUAAUUUGACGGGCCUUCGGUACUACCAUAAAUGCUAAGCUUCCCUGUUCAUCACUUUUGUUAAGUUAAAGGCUGCAUGAACCUUGUAUGAUUUUAUGUAUUAGGAUUAUGCCGGCCAUGCCGGCUAUGCAUUGUGUAAAUGAGUAUUUACUACCGACCUGAUUUAAAAAGUUAUACCCCACCAUAAUUCACUGUCGGCUUACCGUUUGCACUUUCUACGAGAUUGUGUACUUCGUUGUGACAUAGUUCUAAUUAUAAAUUUAUUACUCCAUAGUCAACCUGCAAUUAGUAUGCACCAGUAGGAAUUUAGUUUGAGCAAGCUAAUUAAUUUCCCUCUGCUAAACGACAUUAAUAAGAUUAUGAUUUUACAACACCGCUGCAUUAGAUGUGAAGGUCUGGGCGGCCAUAAUCUAGUUCUCAUAUGACCAAGUUAAAUUGUGCAUACUGUGUGUUUGCUAAAGCGCAAUGGUUAAGCUUUCAAAUUCCAUUAAGUGUUCAAAGUCUUAGUCAUAAUCUCUCUGUCAUUCCACAAGUGUUAAUAAUACCGAUUUAUUGAUUACCUGAUUUUUUACUUGAGUUAUUUCUGACUGAUUUGUUCCCAGGGUAAUGUGAAAUUACCUGGUUUAUGAUGAGCGAUGUUAAAGCAAAUGUUUAAGCAAGGAAUUAUUUGCAAGUGGUUAAAAGUUAUCUGAUCGGCUGUCCGUGCAUAAAUGGCCACAAGUAUGUCUUUUCGAAAUCCUACUGUCUGCUACCGAUCUAAGUUUCAUUACCAGCCUAGUCCUACCCCUUGACAUUUGAUUCGUUGUCGGGCACUUGGUCCAAGCAUUGCUUCCCAACCUCUGAGGCAGAGCCUAACCGAUCCUAUGGAGCUUGAUGGAGUAACGAUGCCUCACUGGUUACUACUCCAAAAGCAAGGAAAAAGCAAGAUUGCAGGUGCUAAAUAGCCGUUGUGUUUGAAGUAAGUAAAAGGCCGACAUCGCAUAUCAAAGGUGAAAUAUGGCAACCAAUAAAAUGUAUGGAUGUGAUCAGUAGCUUUGGGGAAAAUAAAUGUCGUAGGGGCACUCCAUUGUGAAGCGUAGCAGUCCAUAAGGAAUGGAUGUGAUCAGUAGCUUUGGGGAAAAUAAAUGCCGUUAAGGGCACUCCAUUGUGAAUCGUAGCAAUCCAACGAAAUGUAUGGAUGUGAUCAGUAGCCUUGGGGAAAAUAAAUGCCGUAGGGGCACUCCAUUGUGAAGCGUAGCAGUCCAUAAGGAAUGGAUGUGAUCAGUAGCGUUGGGGAAAAUAAAUGCCGUUAAGGGCACUCCAUUGUGAAUCGUAGCAAUCCAACGAAAUGUAUGGAUGUGAUCAGUAGCUUUGGGGAAAAUAAAUGCCGUAGGGGCACUCCACUGUGAAGCGUAGCAGUCCAUAAGGAAUGGAUGUGAUCAGUAGCUUUGGGGAAAAUAAAUGCCGUUAAGGGCACUCCAUUGUGAAUCGUAGCAGUCCAACGAAAUGUAUGGAUGUGAUCAGUAACUUUGGGGAAAAUAAAUGCCGUAGGGGCACUCCACUGUGAAUCGUAGCAGUCCAUAAUAAAGCAAUGAUAAAAUAAAAUAUGAAAUAUGGUGUUGAAAAAAGACCGGCAAGACAUAUCAAUGCAAAAAGGAGGCUAGUCAUCCUAAAAAUUCAAAGGGGCUAGUCGUCCUAAAAAAUCAAGGGGGCUAGUCGUCCUAAAAAAAUCAAGUGGGGCUAGUCAUCCUACAAAAAUCAGGGGACUAGUCAUCCUAAAAAUUCAAAGGGGCUAGUCGUCCUAAAAAAUCAAGGGGGCUAGUCGUCCUAAAAAAAUCAAGUGGGGCUAGUAAUCCUACAAAAAUCAAGGGGCUAGUCGUCCUAAAAAAUUCAAAGGGGCUAGUCGUCCUAAAGAAUCAAGGGGGCUAGUCAUCCUAAAUAUUAAAUAGGCUAGUCGCCCGAAUAAAAUCAAGGGGACUAGUCAUCCAAAAAAUUCAAAGGGGCUAGUCGUCCUAAAAAUUCAAAGGGGCUAGUCGUCCUAAAGAAUCAAGGGGGCUAGUCGUCCUAAACAUUAAAUAGGCUAGUCAUCCUGAAAAAUCGAGGAGGCUAGUCGUCCUGGAAAAUUAAGGGGGCUAGUCUUCCUAAAAAAUCAAGGGGGCUAGUCAUCCUAAAAAAUCAAGAAGGCUUCGUCCUAAAAAAUCAAGGGGGCUAGUCGUCCUAAAAACCAAAGGGCCCAAUCGGCCAGAGCAAGCAAAAUAAAUUAUUAGUUUUAUCUGCAUAUCUUCGACUCAUGAGCAGAAUCAAGAUAUCCGCCCAUUCUACGAACCUCUGCAGAUAAGGGGGCUAGUUGUACGGGGUGAUUACUUUUUCAGAGAAAGCACAACAGUCUAAGACGGUUGUACUUACUCUGAGGGGGCUAGUUGUACGGGAUACUCCCGUUGGCCCAUUUCUAUACCAGAACAUCAUAUUCUAGUAUUAUGGGCCCAAAGAGUAAUAAGGGCCAAGGCCCAAUCCAUGACCUAAUAAUCUAAAACCCCUAUAAAUACUCAUUUAUGGGGGAAGGUAAAAGGGACUUCUCUACACUCUCUCUCCUAUCUCACUGCUUUAUCUCACAAUAUGAUACUAAUGUUGGGCGUCGGAGGCCCUGAUCCGGGGAGCCUCCCCCGGGUUCGGGUUCAUCUUGCAGGCACUCAUCUCCACGCUCAAGAUCCGAAGAUCCGACCUCACCACCCGUUUCCGAUACCGGAACACCAACCUUAAUUCCUCAUUUUCAUGAUAAGUUUUUCUUUUGUUCAAUUAACUCCCUAUAAACUCGUGUCAUUAAUAAAACUCAUCAACUCUUAAUGGCAUAACUUUUAAACAUAAAGCACAUUUAUCGGCAUAAAAUAUGUGUGUGACAAAAAUCGCAAGUUCGAAUGAGAAACAAGAAUAUGGGCUCUUAUCAUUUGAUGGUUUUUUUUGGUGAGUGAUGUAAAUUGGAAACAUUCAAUUAAACAUAUCAUGUGGUAGUGUUCUUGUGGAGACUAUCAAAAGCAGCAACUUCUUAUUUCUGAUUAGAUGGUUUUCCUUUCAAUCAACUUCACUUAAUUUGUCUACAAUUAAUUCAAUUUAGCAAAUUAAAGAUGCAAA